AAGCGAGAAAGUCUAGUGGAACGAUGCAGGGUUCAUUGGGUUUGUUUACAAAAAUUCAAGCAUCCGGUUAAGAAGACGACAAAUAAGAAUGGUAUUAAGUUGGUAGAAUGGAACUCCUUCCUGAUUCCUGCACAUGUAAGUUACCAGAUACUCUUGAGGGACCAAUUUAAGGGCAAACAGACAAACGUUUUAAUGCAAAGAAAGCAUUGGAUUUGAAAGUUCCUAUGGAGAAGAAAAAUGGAGAGAUUCUAAAAGUAUGAAGAUACUCCUGUGUAUAAUGAGGAAAUCGUGUCAGUGAAUGUUGUUGCAAUUGUGGACCAGGCCAGAGUUGUACUAAACCAACUAAGACACAAUGAGAUACAGGAAUGACACAAUGAGAAACAGGAAACAGGAAUGUGAUGAAUGAUCGCCACCUGUUACAAAUUCAUCUAGAAAACUCCCCACAUCCAACAAGAGACAAUCUGACUUCAAAAUCUUCAUUGAAGGCAACUUAAUGGACAAGACAUCCGUCACAUAAAGAUUCACUAAAAUUGGAAUGAUAUACCAAUUUUAACUUUUAACAGACAAAUACAUUAUAAAUUUGAAAAUAGAUCACCCUUAAAUAAGUUGGAUGAUUAACAUUUACCUCAACACAGUACAAAGUGCUCAUGUUGAACUAUUGUGAUUGAUCAUAGUCUGUCCUUCAUUUUUAUUAACAGUUUCAUACAGUGUUAACACUUUAGUAUGGGGACUCAUUUUUAGCUCAACUUUUCGAAGAAUAUGGAGAGCUAUACUACUCACCCAAGCGUCGGCGUCACCCCUUGGUUAAGGGUUUGCGUGCAAGCACACAUAGGUUAAUAUCUCAGCAACUACUUGAGGCAUUGCAUUGAGACUUUAUACAAUGGUACUCAACCAUCCAACCUACUUAAUUAACCAAGUUUGAUAACUCUACUUUGCAUUUAAUGCCAAUAAUAGGCCUUUAAUAUUUGACUUAGAAAUUCUGGUUAAGGUUUUGCAUGCAAGCACACAUAGGUUAAUAUCUCAGCAACUACUUGAGGUAUUGCAUUGAGACUUGAUACAAUGGUACUCAACCAUCCAACCUACUUAUUUAAACAAGUAAGAUAACUCUAGUUUGCAUUUAAUGUAAAUAAUAGGCCUUUAUUAUUUGACUUAGAAAUUCUGGUUAAGGUUUUGCAUGCAAGCACACAUAGGUUAAUAUCUCAGCAACUGCUUGAGGUAUUGCAUUGAGACUUGAUACAAUGGUACUCAACCAUCCAACCUACUUAAUUUUCCAAGUUAUAUAACUAUAGUUUGCAUUUAAUGCAAAUACUUGCCUUUAUUAUUUCACUCAGAAAUUCUGGUUAAGGUUUUGCAUGUAAGCACACAUACAUGUAGGUUAAUAUCUCAGCAAAUACUGGAUGAAUUGCAUUGAGACUUUAUACAACCACCCAACCUAAUUGAAUAAUCAAGUUAGAUAAAAAUUCUGGUUAAAAUUUUGCAUGUAACCACAUUUAUGUUAAUAUCUCGGCAUGUAUUGCAUUGAAAUCUAAUCUAACAGUGAUCCAUGCAUGUUUCGCCAAAACUUUUCAAUCCUUACACUGAAAAGCAGCGGAAUAGUCGAGAGCGCUGUCUCUGUGACAGCUCUUGUCUCUUUGGUCUUUAUUUAUACUGGCCAGAAUAUGUUUACCAAAAAAAUCUUAGUAGAGAUUGAUAACUGUUCAGGUUGGACAAAAAGCAUGUAGGUUGUUUGUUCUAAUAAUAUAAACUGUAAAUGCUUCAGAAACUAUAUAUAUAAUUUUUCAUGAUAUUUGUCAGUAUUUAUUCUCGUCAACAUUUAAAUAAUAUUAGGUGAAACUUGUUUAUUGGUCAAAAUGUGUUUGAUUAGAGUGGCCUCAAGUUCCACUUCAUAUGAAUGAAAUUUGGUCAAGUUUUAGAAAAAAACUAUGUUCUAGUUUUAUAGGCCAUAUUCUCUUCCCAAGCUUUCCUUGAAGAAUGAAUGUAGGUAAUAUGAAACAGGAGUCACUAAGUCAAGUAUUAAAAACCUUAAAAGUUGCUAUUCAUAGAGGUAUUGUUUCCUCAUCAUAAAUCACAACUUAGCCAGCAAUACUUUUCAACAAACAAGGCAUAACAUGUAAAAAGUUAAUACUUAGGCACAUAUUUUAGUGAAUAAAAGCUUGUGAACAUAUUAUUGAAACAAAUAAUGUGUCUGGUUCUGAGGGGAGCAAUAAAGCACAUUGCUUAGUAACAAUUGAGCUAGCUCAUUAUUAAAAGUUUGUUUUAAACUUGAAUUAAAUGAAUGCAAAUCAUAUAUUAUUAUUUUUAAUCUAUAUUUUUUUUUUAGUUACCUUGUUCUGUUGUUAAUUUCCAUACUGACUUGGUCAAUUAUGGCUAAUUGUCUUAUUAUAUUUUAACUUCUAACCUAAAUGUUUCAUUGUACUUUUGAGUGUUCUGUUAACUAUAUUGCACAUUACCCUAUAUGACAGUAUAAAUUCAAUAAAACCAUGGUUAUUAAGUUCCAUACAUAUUGGAGCACAUGGUAAGCCUCUAGAAAUGUCACUUCUUAAACCUAGAUUCUUGAUCUGUUCGCCACAUUGUUUUGUUAAUUUUUUGUUUAUAAAAACAAAUGAUUGUUUAAUGUCAAGGAAACCUUUUUAAAGUUAAAAUGUAGAUGUACAUAGAUAACUGUCAAAUAUUAUUUACUAUUUAAUAACUGUCUAAAGGCAAAAUUUCCAUUCAUUUUUAGCUCACCUGUCACAUAGUGACAAGGUGAGCUUUUGUGAUCACAAUUUGUCCGGCGUCCGUCAGUCCGUCCGUCCGUAAACUUUUACUUUAAACGACAUCUCCUCAUAAACCGCUUAGCCAAUUUCAUCCAAACUUAACAGGAAUGUUCCUUGGGUGGUCCCCCAAUUGUUGAAAAUUUUUCAAAGAAUUGAAUUCCAUGCAGAACUCUGGUUGCCAUGGCAACGGAAAGGAAAAACUUUAAAAAUCUUCUUCUCCAAAACCACAAGGCCUAGAGCCUUAAUAUUUCGUAUAUAGCAUCAUCUAGUGGUCCUCUACCAAAAUUGUUAAAACUAUCCCCCUGGGGUCAAAAAUGGCCCCGCCCCAGGGGUCACUUGUUUUACAUAGACUUAUAUAGGGAAAAAUUUAAAAAUCUUCUUCUCAAAAACCACAAGGCCUAGAACCUUGAAAAUUGGUACAUGUGUAUGUGUCAUCAUGUAGUGGUCCUCUACAAAAUUUGUUCAAAUUAUUCUCCUGGGGUCAAAAAUGGCCCCGCCCCAGGGGUCACUAGUUUUAUUACAUAGUGUUAUAUAGUAAAUCUUUAAAAAUCUUCUUCUCCGAAACUGUAAGGCCCAGGGCUUAGAUAUUUGGUAUACAGCAUCAUCUAGUGGACCUCUACCAGAUUUGUUCAAAUUAUUGCCACAGGGUCAAAAUUGACCCCGCCUAGGGGAUCCUUGUUUUUACGUAGUGUUAUAUAGUAAGUCUUUAAAAAUAUUCUUCUCCAGAACCGUAAGGCCAGGAGCUUAGAUAUUUGGUGUACAACAUCAUCUUGUGAACCUCUAUCAAAGUUGUUCAAAUUAUUGCCACAGGGUCAAAAUUGGCCCCGCCCUGAAAGUUAUUUGUUUUUAUAUACAAAUGUAGUCUUAUAUAAUAAAACUUUAAAAAUCCUCUUCUCCAAAAUAUAAGACCUAGAGCUUUCAUAUUUGGUAUAUAGUGUUACCUAGUGGACCUACACCAAAGGUAUUCAAAUUAUUGUCCCGGGGUCAAAUUGGCCUUGCUCAGGGGUCAUUUGUUUUUACAUUGUCUUGUCACUUAAAAUCUUUUCCUCUGAAAGUAAAGGUCAGAAUGACUCCAUACUUGAUAUGUAGCAGCCUUACAUGGUCCUCUCUCAACUUUGUUCAAAUGGUUUUGUUUGGCCCCUUUUAGGGGUCACCAGAGCAAAAAAUAGAAAAACCUUUAAACAACUUGAUCUUAUUAACUGCUUGAUGGAUCUUCAAGUCUGAAGCAUCCUAGCAUGGGCCUCUGUCAGGUCUUUUCAAAUAAUUUUGUUUGGCCCCUUUUAAGGGCCACCAGAGCUAACAUUAGUAAAAAAAACUUAACAUUUUCUUCGCAUGAACCCCUUGAUAGAUCUUCAGCAAAUUUGGUUUGAAGUGUCCUUGCAUGGACCUCUCUUAAAUUUGUUCAAAUAAUUUUGUUUGGCCCGGUUGACAUGGCAACCUAAAGGAAAAUGUCAACAAUUGGUUACAAUCAUCUUCUUCUCCUAAACCCCUUGGACAAUUUUGAUGAAACUUCAUAGGAAUGAUCCUUGGUUGGUGCUUUUUCAAAAUUGUUCAAUGUCGUGUCCGCCCUGUGACUUUCUCUUAUAUGGACAGAUUUUAAAAUGACUUGCCAUAUGUUUUCGACAUACCAAGACAACGUGUCGUGUGCAAGACCCAUGUCCCUACCUCUAAGGUGAAAGAUACACUAAGUGUUUAUUCACAAUGGAAUGCUGAAUAUGGGGACAUAAAGAGUGUUGGCUGUCAUUUAGUAUGAUUGGGGUUUUUUCUAUGUGCAGAGGCAAUUUAAUAUAACUUGCAAUAUGUAUUUGACACAUAAAGGCAAGAUCAACUUUUUAUGUACUUGUUCAUAGAUCAAUGUCACAUUGGGGGGCAUUUGUCACAUACUUUGACAGCUCUUGUUCAAUAUUCUUUGAGAAACAAGCUAUGUUAAACUCUUUUACUCAGGUGAGCGAUUUAGGGCCAUCAUGGCCCUCUUGUUAUAUUUGAUUUGGGUCCCUAGGGUCAUGGUCACUGUAACUACAAAUAGAAAAAUGCUUGGUACUGAAUAACUUCAGUUUUAAUACAUUUAAAACUGAAUCUCACAAUAAAGGCUGAAGUUCUUGUUGCAUUGCAGCAUUUCUAGUUAACUUUUUAAUUUGACUCUUUUUAUUGCUUUCGACAGGCACAUAUUACAUCAUUAUUGUAUUCAUUUUUAAGACAAAGCCUCAUUUACUUGAACGUGCUGUCCAAAGACAGCUCUUGUUGACAUAAUUAUAAGACACCUUAUGUUAUGGUUUAUAUGAACAAUAGCUGUUUCUGUGUAUGUUUUAGAAGAAACUUCCAUUUCUUAUCAUAUUGAUGGACAUAGAUAUGCAUACAUGUACGGGAUUAUUGACAUCAGAUUCUUAGGAUUAAAUUUACUAAUGUUCUGUUCAUGUUCAAAAUAGAUACAGUUAUGGUAAAUGCAUAGUCUUGUUUGUUUAUAACAUAGACAACCAUGUCUUUUGGUUGUCCUGGUCUCCUGUCCUGUUAUGUGAAUUGGGUUUUAUGGACAUCUUCGAUAUUGUAGGUCCAAUUCUAGUGUCUACGUGGAAAAGUAUUUAGCCUAGGGAGACCUUAGUUUGGGUUAUCAUGUUGGAUAUGUCUAAAUGUUGGCAUGUCGGGAAAUGACAAUUUUAGGCUAUGACAAUUUAAAAAUGUAGAAGUUGCUGGGCAAGGCUCCACACCCAAGUGACUGUCGCAUUAUAUUCUUGAAAAAAUGCCUUGGGCUUUUGGUUUGUUAUGAAUUUUGCGAGUCUGGCAAAUAUCUGCAUUAUAAUAUUCAUCGACAUACAGGUGACAAAGAAAAAGGUCAAUUUUCAAUGAUUUCAAAAGAUUUAUUAACUAAAAGGGGAUCAUCAUAAAUGAAUACAGAGAACAAGGUUAAUUGAUUUGACAGAGGAUUGAUGCAGAGCUUCAAAAAUUAAGGAGACAAUUUCAGAAAAAUGCACAUAAAUGAUUUUUGUUUAUUUGUGUUGUUUGAUAACUGCUGUGUGUCGAUUUUUAUUUAAUUUCAUUUUACCCCCCAAAUCACACUUCACACCAUACAUGGUUUCUACACUUUAGGUUUGUUAUACUGUAUUAUAGUAUCUAUUGAAUACAGUAAAAUUUCUGGUCAUUGUAUUGCAAAAUUUGUGCUAAUAAUUUGCAAUUUCAGAAACUCUCAUUUUUAUUUAAUUUUUCAAACAUUUUCCCCAAAAUUCACAUUUCACAAAAUUACAUAGUUUCUUUACUUUUGAUAUAUUAAACUGUAAUAUUUAUGAAAUACAGUAAUUCUGGUCAUUCUAUUGCAAUAUUUGAAAAAGUUAUUGGCAAAUUCCAAAAAUUCUCAUUUCCAUUUAAUUUUUCAUACAUUUUACCCCGAAAAUCAUAUUUAAAAAAAACCCUGUGUUUCUAUAUAAUAUAUAAUAAUGUUAAAUGAUAUAUAUUAGCUGCAGUAGUUCUAGUGUUUUUAUUGCAAAAUUAGGCCGAGUUAUUGGCAAAAUUCAUAAAUUGUCAUUUUCAUUUAACUUUUCCAACAUUUUACCCCGAAAAUCAUUUUUUGCGCCAUAUAAUUGUUCUAUGAUUUAAGUAUAUUAAAUAUGUUGCCUGAUAUGACA